rnacentral:rRNA from 1 species
AACGGCCGUACCAUGCUGAAUAUACCGGUUCUCGUUAGAUCACCGAAGUUAAGCAUCAUUGGGCGCGGUCAGUACUUGGGUGGGUGACCACCUGGGAACACCGCGCGCCGU